GUCUUGAGAGGGCAGGUGGCUGCUUCCUCCCUUCCGUCCUUCCCACAGGGAGGGGGAGCUUGGCCCGGCUCCCUCGGCCCGGUGUUACCGACUUUUUCCCCAUCAGGUGGAUCUGGCGCGGCCUCUCGCGAGCCUUAAAAGGAGCAGCAGGCGGCCGCCUUUCGCCAGCACCAGGAGGGAGGCCUGCGGGAACUACGCCACCCAGCGUGCAGCGGGCGCGCUCCCGGCAUGCGCGGCGGCCGUGUUCCCGCCGCCCCGCCGCCGCUCGCCGCUCGCCGCCCGCCGCCCGCCGCGGCGCUGCCCUCGGGCUCCGUCCCUCCUCCCGCCGCGGCCUUCGGGCUCCCGGAGCACCGGGGGGGCCGAUCGCGGAGUGGAUCCUAUCAAGACUCAGAUCAACAAAGUGGAUUCUAAAUUUCUUCAGCACUUUAUAUGCGGUUGUUUCCUUUAGUGAUCCCAGGACUCCAGGACUCCAGGACUCAACAGCAGUUUAUGCACAUGGCUGAGAUUUAUUACCGCAGGGGCUGGCCCCAUGGCUGAGUGGUUAAGUUCGCGCACUCCACUUUGGUGGCCCAGGGUUUCGCUGGUUUGGAUCCUGGGCGUGGACCUAGCACUGCUCAUCAAGCCAUGCUGAGGUGGCGUCCCACAUAGCACAACCAGAAGGACCUGCAACUAGAAUAUACAACUAUGUACUGGGGGCUUUGCGGAGAAGAGGAAAAAGAAAAAAAAAAGUAAGAUCUAUUACAGCAAAGGAUAGAGAACAAAAGAAACGGAAAAAGAAGCAUUGGUGAAGUCCAGAGAGGUUCAGCACAGGACUCCAAUGUCCUCUGUCUAAGCUACACAGGACUCGUCCUCUCUCUCUAGCAGCAAACUACAGCAGGGUCACGCGUUAGGCCAUUCGCAUAACCGUAGAGUGGGAUUCCUACCCUCACUGGUGAGUGAAGAGGAGGCAGUUAAAACAAACAGCAAUGGAAAGUGGAGGAGAAAUCCCAGAAAGGAGAAGACCACAGAGAGGGAGCCUUAAAGCCUGUGUAGAAACUGCCCAGAUCUCUAGCUAACCCCUAAACUACACACAUGCAGGGUGGACUCUAAGCCCAGAUAAAGUGAACUGCACUGAGCUUGAGUUUAGCUAAGUUAACUGCCUGCUGAAACAAAAAAUCGCUGCUCCUUAGAGAAGCAUAUCAGAACUGAGCAUCUCUUGAAGUAGAUCAUUCACGAUGUCCAGGAUUGUAGCUAAAGUUACUACACAUGUGGAGAAAAUGUGACCCAAAAGUCAAUCAAGGGAGACCAGCCCCAAGAUGAGCCAGAUGUUGGAAUUAGAGACAAGGAUUUUAAAGCAGCUGUCAUAACUGUGCUUAAGGACUUUAAAGAAAAUUUACUCAUAAUGAAUGAAAAUAUAGGAAAUCUCAGAAGAGAAAAGAAAUUUUAAAAGAACUAAAAGGUAAUUCUGGAACUGAAAAGUACAACAUCUGAAAUAAAAUUUUCACUGG
rnacentral:lncRNA from 1 species